UAGGGAUAUAGCUCAAUCGGUAGAGCAGUGGUCUCCAAAGCCGCGUGUCGGGGGUUCGAAUCCCUCUAUCCCUGU
rnacentral:tRNA from 1 species